AUCCAGGUCUGCUUCAAAGAAAAAAUUCACACAAACAUGGCUGAGAUCCCGUACCAAAUGAUAUCAAACCUACGCCCUCAAACAACAACUGCAUGGAGGCUUAAAGUCCGAGUAACGAGGAUUUGGCAAGCCAUUGAUCGCCAGGGAGAAACAGUGGGUAUAAACUUAAUUUUCGUCGAUGAAUUGGUGUGGAUUAUAUCCAGCGUCAUGUGUUUCACUUCACUGACUUAUCAGCUAUAAUGGAUGCUGCAAGGGAAAGCAACUUUUUAACCGAUGUUGUUGGCAUCCUACAACAAGUGCAACCAAUCAGUACCUACAGGAACAAAUAUAAUCAGCUCAAAUACAGCAUUCAGUUUACCAUCAACGAUAUGCACACUUCUGCACAAGUCAUAUUCUACGAUGAAAUGGCACAAUCUUUUGAUCAGGAAGUCCAUGAUGCUGGCCAACAUCCAAUAAUUGUUAUCAUCUCCAGUGUUAAAGCUAGACUCAUCCAAGGUAGUCCUCAAAAAAUUACAUUCCUGUUUUUUAAUAUCUUCAUAAACCAUUGUUAAGUUAAUGUUUUAAGUGAGGCGAAGUUGACAAACUAUUCAGCGAUAAGAUUUUUCAUAAAUCUUAAUCAUGAAGCAGUGAAGGAUCUCAGAGAUGCAUUAAGGUUAGUAAUUUAUCUUAUGUAAUGUAUGGUAUUGUAAAUAAAUGUGAUUUGAUUGAAUGGUACAGAUUGACAAAUUGGCGUCUCCACUGAUGUUCGCAAAUACAAGGAUGCAACGAGAGGACUCUACUACCUCCAUCAUGCUAUUCCUAUUAUUCCAUCAUGUUAUUUAUCUUAUGUAAUGUAUGGUUUUGUAAUAACGUUUGGGAACUUUGUACUUUCGAAUUCUAUCUUUGGAUUUGGUUUGCUAGCCAGAUUAAGAACUUUGUAUUAUUCUU